rnacentral:lncRNA from 1 species
GUGGUUCUCAGAUGAAUCGCAAUUUACCAGGCCUAAAUUGGGAGGGGAUCCAGUUGUCAUAAUAAUCUGAUACUUCCUUCCUGUUUAUACCGAAAUGAAAUCGUUAAACAUGUGUUUUGAAAUAGUUUUACAUCAAUUUUAACUAGCCAUGUUCCAUAGAAAACUCCAUAGAUUUGCCUUUGCCGAUGUGGAAAGGGACAAUGCAUGGAUGGUAAUAUUUUCCUCGAGAUAUUUUCAAAUGUUCAGCCCAGUGUUUUCCAGCAUCAUGGUAUUGUGAACGUACAUUGUGUACAAAUGAAUGUACAUUUUUACUGACAUCAAAAUAAUUAUACACCAACACAGCUCAUCUACUUUAAUGCCUUUAAUGAUGUAUGGGUAGUGCUGUUUUGGUCUUCAUUAUAAAUCACUGCCCCCUUUUAUUAUGCAUGUUAUUAUUAUGGACUCCCUUCUUCUCUAUCUGUUUAUAAAUUAUACCACAUAUCACAUGCAUUACAAAUUUAAGUCCAAUUAAUUAUUAUGCCUGUUAAUUAUGGCAUUUUGCUAGGCUAAAUAAUGUUUUCCUGCAACAACUUCAAAUCCAACAAUGCAAUGACAGAUUUUUUCCUGCAACGGCGUCAAAGCAAAUAAUUAAAAUAGCAAGACGUCAUAAUUUUUUUUAAACCUGUGCAUUACAAAUGUACCCGAGCUUUAUCUUUGCUAGACCGAACAGCUCUAAACUAUACUUCAGUCAAGUCCAGUUAGAGUUUUAUAUAUGUUAUCCAAAAUAUCUAACAUUUAUUCCUUUUAUUGUUAUUUUUGAUUUUUUGUUUGUUUGCGACAUCUUUUGAUCCUACAAUAUUGCAAAAUAUUUUAUUUUAAAACAAUAGAAACAUUGCUACAAAUAUAAAUUAUUCCUGAAUUUGCAUAAACCCAUAGAAAUCUAACAUAAAUUUUGCAAAUAUAAUUAUUCGAGCAGAGAUCUUGAGGUAGUAUUUCUAUUGUUAAGGACAUAUUUGAUAUUGGAAUUGUUUGAUAUUGUAUUAUUAUUGCCACAUGUAACUAUAUUACACCUUUUUUUCAGUAUUUUCUAAAAUGCUCAAACUGGUGAAUGUUAAGAAGAAAAGUCUAGGCACAAGGAUUCAAGUCCCCAAAAAAGUCUAAGCAGUUGUGUGCGAACAGCAGUUGGCCAUUCAUGCACUUAUCAUGUGGACUAACAUAUAUACAUGAUAUAAAUGGCAUGCCUUCAAAUAGAAAUAGAAAUACUAGUGUACAACUGAAUGCCACUUUUGACCAGAACGUUCCUCUGAAUAUCAUUUAUGGAGGAUAUACCAACAACGUUUCAUUGGAUCAUUAACAUUUAAUCUCUUCU